rnacentral:rRNA from 1 species
GAUGAACGCUGACAGAAUGCUUAACACAUGCAAGUCAACUUGAACUUCGGUUUGGGUGGCGGACGGGUGAGUAACGCGUAAAGAACUUGCCUCACAGGUAGCGACUGGAUUUGGAAACGAAUGCUAAUACCUGAUAUUAUGAUUUUACAGGCAUCAUAGAAUUAUGAAAGCUAUAUGCGCUGAGAGAGAGCUUUGCGUCCCAUUAGCUAGUUGGAGAGGUAACGGCUCACCAAGGCGAUGAUGGGUAGCCGGCCUGAGAGGGUGAUCGGCCACAAGGGGACUGAGACACGGCCCUUACUCCUACGGGAGGCAGCAGUGGGGAAUAUUGGACAAUGGACCAAGAGUCUGAUCCAGCAAUUCUGUGUGCACGAUGAAGUUUUUCGGAAUGUAAAGUGCUUUCAGUUGGGAAGAAAAAAAUGACGGUACCAACAGAAGAAGUGACGGCUAAAUACGUGCCAGCAGCCGCGGUAAUACGUAUGUCACAAGCGUUAUCCGGAUUUAUUGGGCGUAAAGCGCGUCUAGGUGGUUAUAUAAGUCUGAUGUGAAAAUGCAGGGCUCAACUCUGUAUUGCGUUGGAAACUGUGUAACUAGAGUACUGGAGAGGUAAGCGGAACUACAAGUGUAGGAGGUGAAAUUCGUAGAUAUUUGUAGGAAUGCCGAUGGGGAAGCCAGCUUUACUGGACAGAUACUGACGCUGAAGCGCGAAGCGUGGGUAGCAAACAGGAUAAGAUUACCCUGGGUAGUCGAGGGCGAAUUCCACAGGGGAUAUCAAGCCUUAUCGCUAUCGGUCGACCCUCGAGGGGGCGGCCCGGUACUCAGCUUUUGUUCUCUUUAGAUGAAGAAUAAUUGC